rnacentral:rRNA from 1 species
UACGUAGGAGGCGAGCGUUGUCCGGAUUUACUGGGCGUAAAGGGCGCGCAGGCGGCACGUCAAGUACCUCGUGAAAUCUCCCUGCUCAACGGGGAGGGAGCGAAGUAGACUGGCGAGCUAGAGGACGGUAGGAGGGGGGGUAGAACUGCUGGUGUAGCGGUGAAAUGCGCAGAUAUCAGGAGGAACACCAAUGGCGAAGGCAGCUCGCUGGGACGUGACUGACGCUGAGACGCGAAAGCGUGGGGAGCAAACAGG